UAAAACUUCUAAGUAGAGACUAUUCUCAAGCGUCAGAAAAAAAAGUGAGGCUACUACAGCCGUUUUGCCCGUGUGGAGCCUGAGCUCCCCAGCGGGUAUGUGUGACGUGCCUGGAAUCAAAUUAUGAGCUUAGUGUCACUCCCCCCUCCCCCCCACGUAAAUCUAAUAGACAUUCUGUGAUAGUCUUUCCACUAAAAAUAUGUGUGGUUUCAGGCAUUGCACUUUUCCACGAUUUUUCUCGGCCUCCAGACUAUUGAAACUGCUUCCACUAGAACUUCAUUUCAAACACCGAUUUGGGGUCUUGCUAAACUCAUUCUGGGAGUCUUAUUUUGCUGACAAUGGCAAUAAGGGCCUAUCUGAAGGUUUGGUUUAAAGACCGCUCAAGAGCUAUGGGGACUGCAGUAUCAGAAGGGAAGAUUGGAAAAAAUCAGUGAGUUACUGUGCUAACCAAGAUAUGGAGAAUCUUUGUGAGAACAUUAAAGUUACUCAUUCGACAUUUAUUGAAUACUAAUUUUGGGGAUGGCUUUGUACAAAACCCAGAGUACACAGAUAAUGAUUACACAUGGAUGUUUCUCUUGAGAUCAGCCCAAGCUCGGCUGCCCAGCUUCUGAUUUCAUCCUACCAGUAAAGACUGUGGUGCAAUGGGUAUUAUUCCCUCACCCUGUGUGUUAGCAAUAAAAGAUUUUAGUAUGUGUGUCUCUGUGAGCA
rnacentral:lncRNA from 1 species